rnacentral:rRNA from 1 species
ACGUUCGGAUUACAGCCUGCAACCCGGCUGUAUGAAGCUGGAAUCGCUAGUAAUCGCAGAUCAGAAUGCUGCGGUGAAUACGUUCCCGGGUCUUGUACACACCGCCCGUCACACCAUGGGAGCCAGGAAUGCCCGAAGCCAGUGGCCUAACCGCAAGGGGAGGAGCUGUCGAAGGCAGGCCCGGUAACUGGGGUGAAGUCGUAACAAGGUACC